AAAUUGAAGGGUUUGAUCCUGGCUCAGAAUGAACGUUGGCGGCGUGGAUUAGGCAUGCAAGUCGCGCGCGAUUUUACGGAUUGAAACUUCGGUCGAUUGAAGUAAAUGAAAGCGGCGAAAGGGAGAGUAACGCGUGGAUAUCUGCCCUUGGCUCCAGAAUAGCUACGGGAAACUGUAGGUAAUGCUGGAUAAUAUCUCCGGAUCAAAGGUGUGAUUCCGGCCGAGGAUGAGUCCGCGUCCUAUUAGAUUGUUGGUGGGGUAAUGGCCUACCAAGUCGAAGAUGGGUACCGGGUGUGAGAGCAUGGCCCGGCUCACUGGGACUGAGACACUGCCCAGACGUCUACGGACGGCUGCAGUCGAGAAUCUUCCGCAAUGGGCGCAAGCCUGACGGAGCGACGCCGCGUGCGGGAUGAAGGCCUUCGGGUUGUAAACCGCUGUCAGUUGGGAGGAAAUGCUAUGGGGUUCUCUCCAUAGUUUGACCGAUCUUCAGAGGAAGUACGGGCUAAGUACGUGCCAGCAGCCGCGGUAAUACGUACCGUACGAACGUUAUUCGGAAUUACUGGGCUUAAAGAGUCCGUAGGCGGCUUUAAAGGUGAGGUGUGAAAUCCCACGGCUUAACCGUGGAACUGCGCUUCAAACCACAAGGCUAGAGGGAGAUAGAGGAAAGCGGAACUGA
rnacentral:rRNA from 1 species